UACGUAGGGGGCGAGCGUUGUCCGGAGUACUGGGCGUAAAGCGCACGCAGGCGGUCUGUUAAGUUUGGAGUGACAGUUGGUGGCUUAACUGCCAAAGUGCUUCGAAAACUGACAGACUUGAGGGCUUCAGAGGGACACGGAAUUCCGGGUGGAGUGGUGAAAUGCGCAGAUAUCAGGAGGAACACCGAUGGCGAAGGCAGUGGGCUGGGCCGGCACUGACGCUGAGGAGCGAAAGCGUGGGGAGCGAACAGG
rnacentral:rRNA from 1 species